GGGUUGAUGAUGAGACCUCAUACUGUCUCGAAGAGAGAUGAUGACUUAAAAAUCAUGCUCAGGCCAGUGCCGCAGCUC